rnacentral:rRNA from 1 species
GACGAACGCUGGCGGCGUGCCUAAUACAUGCAAGUCGAGCGCGGGAAGCGGACAGAACUCUUCGGAGGGACGUUCGUGGAACGAGCGGCGGACGGGUGAGUAACACGUAGGCAACCUGCCUGUAAGACUGGGAUAACUCGCGGAAACGCGAGCUAAUACCGGAUAAUACUUAUCAUCUCCUGAUGGUAAGUUGAAAGGCGGCUUUUGCUGUCACUUACAGAUGGGCCUGCGGCGCAUUAGCUAGUUGGUGGGGUAACGGCUCACCAAGGCGACGAGGCGUAGCAGACCUGAGAGGGUGAUCGGCCACACUGGGACUGAGACACGGCCCAGACUCCUACGGGAGGCAGCAGUAGGGAAUCUUACGCAAUGGACGAAAGUCUGACGGAGCAACGCCGCGUGAGUGAUGAAGGUUUUCGGAUCGUAAAACUCUGUUGUCGGGGAAGAACAAGUAUGAUAGUAACUGAUCGUACCUUGACGGUACCCGACCAGAAAGCCACGGCUAACUACGUGCCAGCCGCCGCAGUAA